rnacentral:rRNA from 1 species
CUACGGGGGGCAGCAGUGGGGAAUAUUGCACAAUGGAGGAAACUCUGAUGCAGCAACGCCGCGUGGAGGAUGACACUUUUCGGAGCGUAAACUCCUUUUAUAUAGGAAGAAGAUGACGGUACUAUAUGAAUAAGCGCCGGCUAACUCCGUGCCAGCAGCCGCGGUAAUACGGAGGGCGCAAGCGUUACUCGGAAUCACUGGGCGUAAAGAGCGUGUAGGCGGAUUAAAAGGUCAGAAGUGAAAUCCUAUAGCUUAACUAUAGAACUGCUUCUGAAACUCUUAAUCUAGAAUAUGGGAGAGGUAGAUGGAAUUUCUGGUGUAGGGGUAAAAUCCGUAGAGAUCAGAAGGAAUACCGAUUGCGAAGGCGAUCUACUAGAACAUUAUUGACGCUGAGACGCGAAAGCGCGGGGAGCAAACAGGAUUAGAUACCCGUGUAGUC